rnacentral:rRNA from 1 species
UACGAAGGGUGCAAACGUUGCUCGGAAUUACUGGGCGUAAAGGGCUCGUAGGCGGCCAACUAAGUCGGACGUGAAAUCCCUCGGCUUAACCGGGGAACUGCGUCCGAUACUGGAUGGCUUGAGUUCGGGAGAGGGAUGCGGAAUUCCAGGUGUAGCGGUGAAAUGCGUAGAUAUCUGGAGGAACACCGGUGGCGAAGGCGGCAUCCUGGACCGACACUGACGCUGAGGAGCGAAAGCCAGGGGAGCAAACGGG